CCUGAGCUUCCCGUCGCAGUCUUCCACCUGGAUCUGGAGCCCUACAGGCUCCCCAUGGUGUUGGUGGCGGUGAUUGCCCUGUGCGGCCUGCUGGCCUUCCUGCUGCUCGUGUGCCUGCUGUCCUGCCUGUGGAAGGUGAAGAAGAGGGCCAGGAGGGCCGCCGAGCUGGAGAAGAUCGCAGAGAAUGCGGGCAAGGAGGACGAGGGGGACGCCUUCAGACAGGUGGUGAAGAACAUGAAGCAGCUGAAUGAUGACUCUAAACACUCCCAGGCGGAAAACACAGAGAAAUCCCAGAGCACCGAAGUGGACAUUAAACAUGCUGUUCAUGUCUCUAUAACCUAUGAGUGUUGUCUAGCAUGCUGUUCACCUCUCUAUAACC
ensembl:lncRNA